rnacentral:lncRNA from 10 species
AAUUAUGUUGUUACACAACAAAUUGUGGGGCCUUCAAAUUGUUUUUCUCUUUUCAUAUUAAAAAUGGUCUUUCUGUGAACUAGCAUUCACAGGGUCAGUGUGGAUGUUUUCUCCCAAGUUAUGAACACGGCUAUAGGGGUCCCCAAACAACCCCACAAUCCAGGCCUUGGAAUGAGAUCGCUGUGGUCAGGCCUUGCCCUGUUUUGAGAAAGCCCUUGGUGGGCCAGUGAGGGCAGAAAGAACACCAGUCAAGCAAGGGAGCACUUCCUUGUCCUACAACCUCAUCCCAGAGUCUAUUUUUGUUAAAACUCCAGAAGAAGGAAGGAAACGGGUAAUGGCCCCCAGCUCCAUCCAUGUUGCUGCAGAGGACAUGAUUUCAUUCUUUUCUAUGGCUGCAUGGGAAGAAGCUUGUAUUUUAUUAAAGAUUAAGCAAGAUCCAUGUUGCUGAGGAUGUUUUGUCUGUGUGUGUGUGUGUGUGUGUGUGUGUGUGUGUGUGUGUGUGUGUGUGUGGAGAGGGGUAGGUAGAGUAUACCGGAAGGAAGUAGGACUGUAGAUGUUGAGCUUUUUGUCCUCCAGAAUUGAAUGUGGGCCACGCUGGUGUUUGUGGAGUUCCAUGAUGGCUGAGCUGUGAUGACUGAUGUUGCCAGGAGCUUUGUCUGUGUGGACUCGACCCUCUGCCAUGUUGCCCAGUUCUCCUUGAAGUCAGUGGAAGCUGCAUGGCCUGGCCUGGCGCAGCUGCAGGUGAUGCAGCCACUGUUAGGUGAGCCUGGCCUCAUUCAGAAAUGAUCUCCAAAAUUCUUUAGAGAAAAGGGGGAGACUGCUGAUUAGGGAAAAAUAUUUCACGUAAAGGAUCUCUUUCAUGUGGCCUUUUCACAUUUUCAUGAAAAGGGAGGUUUAUCAACUUUUUCCUAAGUGAGAUUAUGACGCUGCCCCCGUAGGGCACCAUUCCCUAAGCUGAGUGCCGUAGAGAACCAGCAACACGGGUUAUGCAAUUGUAUAAACUUGGGAAUUAUGAGCGACGUUGAAUUGUUUCCUGCUGCAGACCUUUCCAGAGCCUUCAGCAGCUAAUGUACCUUUUGAAAUCACAAGGUAUGGAAGGCGUCUCACAGAGUUGACCAUGGGAUGAUCUCCUGGAUUUGUGUUCUCUAGGCUUAUUUUGGGAAACACCCCGAUAAGGACUGGAUGGAUGGUGCACAGAAUACACAGGGAGUGUCCGAGGCUGAGGUGCUGCCCCAGUGCUUGGUUUCUGGUGUUGUUUCCCUCAUGGAUAGAGGGCAGGCAGGGUGGCGGCCACAAUGAAAUGAAAGAUUCCCUCCCGUUGUCUUGCGUAAGUGAAGUGAUGGUUGCUCUCUUUUCUCUUUAAGUAGGUAUUAGGGGAUCAUUGCCUGGUUUUCAGGCACUGAAAUGGACACGCUCCUCUCUCAUGCCUGAUUGUGUAAGAAGCAUUUAUUAACCAUGAUGAGGAGCAGACGCUGCCUGGUGUGGGCAGUGCACAGGUGAAUGAGACCUGGAGUUGCCAAGAGAAGAAAGAAACUCGUAGUGACUUCCCUUUGAUCUUGCUUUUCUGGGUGCGUUGAUAAUCAUCUCCACCUCAGUUACCAAACACAAAGAUUUCAGGAGUGCCUUGGCCGAAGUUCACUGCCGGCCAAUCCCAGUCUUGUAAUGACUAUUGUUGAAAUGCUGUGGCUUUUCCUUCCCUGUUCAUAUGUCUUGUGUGGACAGUGUCACAUGCCCAGCCACCAGAUCAUAAUAGUAUGUUUAAAAGAUUGCUCUAAAAUGGGCUUUUGGAAGGGGAGUCAAUCAAUCAACCAAUCAAUCAAGGGAGUCAUGAAUUCUCAAUGUGCCUCUUUUACUUUGCGCAAUUUGAGACUUCAUAUCAGUCAUCUCUGUCCAUGAGAAAACAUGAUGGCAUUGUAGUUAAAGGCCUCUUAUGUGCCAGUCACUGUGCUGAGUACUAGGAGACAGCCCGUGAGAUGUAAUUUCUGUCCCAAUUGAAAGAAGUAAACAGUAACAAUUACAGCUGCCGUUUAUCAAAUACCCACUCUGUACCAAACACUGCUUGAAGACUGAAGGUUUGCUCUGAACAAUCACUCUCAUAUUGCUGGCAAUGUUUCAUACAAAGAUUUUUUGAAUGGAAUUGACUAUAAUUGUUGGGGAAUAAAUGAAAUUGCAAAGCACCUUGUACAGCAUUGGCCUUGUGGUAAGAGUGAAGGAAAAUAGCCUUCACUGCCCAUUGUAAUUAUAAUGCCGGGCAACAUCUGUUUCUUAUUCAUCUUUGUCUUCUCAGUACCUGGCCCAGAACACACACUUGAUAAAUGUUUGUUAACAAUGAAUGAUGGGCUGGGCGUGGUGGCUCACGCCUAUAAUCCCAGCACUUUGGGAGGCCCAGGCAGGCAGAUCACUUGAGAUCAGGGGUUCCAGACCAGAUUGGCCAACAUGGUGAAACACCGUCUGUACUAAAAAUACAAAAGUUAACCAGGUGUUGUGGUGUACGCCUGUAAUCCUGGCUACUCAGGAGGCUGAGGCAGGAGAAUUGCUUGAACCCAGGAGGCAGAGGUCGCAGUGAGCCGGGAUUGUGCCACUGCAUUGCAGCCUAGGCAACAGAGCAAGACCUCGUUUCAAAAAACAAAAAAACCAACCAACAAACAAAAAUCGAUGAUGAUGACUCAAGUAAGAAAUAACAAUUAACUACUCGGCAAAAUAGAGUAGAUAGACAGUCACUUUCAUACUUUUAACUUUUAGACUUGUUUAUUUUGCUCAUUUGGAGAACUAAUGACGUGUGACUGACGUGGAGACUUGAGUCGAGUCAUCAGAUAAAUCAAGGCAGUGCCGGGUAUUAGCACGCAUUAUCUUGAUAAUUCAGGCACAGAUAGUUUGGGGCCACAUAUUCUUUGGAAAAUGUCCUUACUUUCACGUGAAUUUCCACAUUGUGGAUUGGCGGAAGUUCGGGAACAUUACAAACGCUUACCAUGAACUCAGGACAACUUGCUCUUAGAUGUGGGUCUAUAUUUUGCAGGAAGGGUUACCAUGGGAUUGAUUCUGAGCAGGCAAGGUUCUGCAUGGAGAUGGCUUUAGGAUAAGUAUAUGGGUUUUCCUGUGAUGUCGACAGCACAUGAUAUUUCCAUAAAGGUCACUUAACAUAAGCGCACAAAAGCCUUCAUGGGUUGUAACGCUGCAGCUGCCAAGCCAGGUGAGCCAAGUCUCACUGCCUGGGGAAUUGUGCCGGAGUCAAGACUAGAACCGGCGCUGCCUGGUGUUAACAGGAGCAAACAGGUUCGUGGCAGUGAUCUAUGGAGUCUCAUUUCCAGCUCCUUUAUUCACUUGUUCAUAACUUUCUGCCAAAUUCUUUGAGGCUGAAAGCUUUCUUGUCUGGUGCUGGGCCAUGACUGCCCAAAGGUAAAUUUUUCUGGAGAGUUUCUGCCAGAGCUAUUAAGCCUUUCUUGAAUCAAUGAAAAAAGAAAUUCUUCAUUUGAAUUUGUUGGCGUCGGUUCUCUGGUAAUUCAGCACUUAGCCCAGUCACCCAGAAGAUCUCUCUCUCUCACACAUACACACACACACCAAUACUUGAAUACACACAUGCACACCCAACCCACACACAUAAGCAGACACACACCCAAUACACUUGCACACAACUUACACACAUGCACACUCACAUACACCCAUACUCUCACACACCACAUACUCAUAUGCACACACACCCAACACACACCCUCAUGCACACUCUCAUACACCCAGUACAUUCACUAUACCACACACACAGACGCACACACCACACAUGAACACACACACACACAUGCAGGGCCUACACUCUUGGUCUAGACCAUGCAAACCUGAACCACAGGGUCAUUUUUCCCUUGGGGGCACUGCAGGCUCUCGCACCUGGUCCUGUGGGAAAGGGAGGCUGGAGGAGCAGACAGACUCAUCAGAUCAUGCCCUCCAUUCUUUCUCAGCAACAAACAAAUGCACUCAUUUGCCUGCUGCUUCAAAAGCAGGAGUGUGGCCUGGGUGCGGUGGCUCACACCUGCAAUCCCAGCACUUUGCAGGGCCGAGGCAAGAUCGUUUGAGGACAGGUGUUAGAGACCAGCCUGAGCAACAAAGGGAGACCCGUCUCUACACAAAAUUAGAAAAAAAAUUAGCCAGGUGUGAUGGUGCACACCUGUAGUCCCAGCUACUUGGGAGGCUGAGGUGGGAGGAUGGCUUGAGCUUGGGAAUUGGAGGCUGCAGUGAGCUGAGAUCACACCACUUCACUCCAGCCUGGACCACACAGUGAGACCCUGUCUCUAAAAAAAAAAAAGAAAAAAAAAAAAAAAGCAGGAGCGUGAACUUGAAUGGGAACAGCAGUGAACGCUGAGUCCUGGGCACAUUCACUCAAUGCCUGUUACCACAUAAGAGGGGGAGAGGGGCAACCCCCCGGACCUACAUUUUUAUAUUGGUAGGAAAUAGUAACCCUUGAAAACAAGAGGAAGGAGGAAGGCACUGUGGCUACACCCCGGCUAUGGAGGUGAGCACCAGCCUGCCUCUGUGUCGUCCUCCGUUUCCUCCAUGCCUUCCAUACUCAGUUGAGUGGAUGCCACUUGUCAAGAGCUAUAGUCAGUAGCAAUUACUAGCUCCAGCUGUCUGGAGGGAAAAGUGCUGGCUUGAUGAAUGAAGUGACUUCUAGUCCGUCAGAGGUAUGGUUCUGGGAGAGCAACAAUCAUAACUAAUAGUUUUUUACUUAACAGACCUUUUUACAACCCGAAACUCUCUUCACAAGGGCUCUGAAAAAUAACUGGACACUAACAUGACCUGAUUUGGGAAAAAACUGAAUUCUCUAAUUUUCCAUAUUGAAAAAUUAUAUUGCCUUGUUCUUUUAUUCUGCAAAAGGAAAACAGAAAAAGGCAAAAGUCACAGAAUGGAAAAGGGCAAAGAAUUUAAGAGGAUGAAUUGAAGAAGAAAAUAAAAUGCUGAGGUUGGCUUGGCUUGUUCCAGGGAGAACCUGGCUGGAACAACCGGGUGUUCAUCGGGAAUUCAGAGGCUGUGCCGACCCUCCAGGGAGCCAGUGCCCGACCUGUCCUCCGGGUGGGGACUGAGGAUGCAGAGAAUGGCUCAAUCGGCUGCACGAGAGGCCCUGCCCUGUGGGCGCUGAGCAGUAGCCAUGGUCCCCUGCCGGGUCGGCAGAGUUACCUUUGCUGCUGCAUCCAUGAAAGACCCUUUCUCCUUGAGCUAGUCGGGGAACCCACGGUGGCCAAGGAAAUGCACCACCUCCUUCUACAGACACUUUCCUCCUGGCUGCAGGGGCUUUCUGGUGAGUGUUUUAGUCUCUUCCCAACUGUUUCUUUUAACCAGAUUUCACCUGCAUGAAAGCCCCCAGUAGGGUGUCAGAAUGUGGGGAGAGUGGGGGGAUACUUGGCGGGAUUGCCCGAGCCUCAGUCCCUAGCCUGUCACCUCGCUGGGGAGUGUGGCAGUUCAGGGCCAUCAUCUUCACGGCAGCUACGUUCUGCAGAGUAUUCCAUGCUAAAGCCAGGAGCUUCUGGGGGAGGGUGGUGGGUUUCACAUGGAUCCUAGCAUUUCCUGCCCGUGUUACAGGCAUGUGAAACACUCGGUUCUUCUCUCUUAUGAAAAGAACUAGAACAAAUGGAGUCCGUACAUGUGGCCUUCGGGCACUGGGGUGGCUCAGAGGGGAGGAGAGGUGCUUAGAGUUGGUUUUUUGGACAAGACCCAGUGGAGCAAUUCUAAUUCCCUCUCUGUUGAAUGACAGCCAACACUCUUGUGCUGUUGAUCUUCUCACCUCCGUAUUUGUUUAUGAAUUAUCUGGAAAGGUGAUUGUAUGAGCUUACCGAGACAGAGUUCCAGGGGCCCCUGGGGGAAGCCGGGCAAUGUCUCCACAAGCAAAGCCAUGUGGGAGGGCCAGUGGGACACGCAGAGGAAAGCCCCUGUUCCUUGCCACCGAAGAGAGGGUUUUCAUGCUCUGAAUUGGUACAGUGAGCUCCCUAUAAGCACUAAACUCACCCGCUGAAACAUUGGCUCUUUAUUUUGCGCAAUUUAAG